GCGGCGGACUGGUGUCCAAACCGGAUUGCGAAUCCGGGCCACGGUGUAAGACCCACCGCGAGAGUUCAAUUCUCUCGCCGUCCGCA
rnacentral:tRNA from 1 species